AUGAGUCUACUUUGUUGGAACUGACGUGGGGCUGGCAAACCCGCGGCAGUUCAAGAGCUUCGUGACCUAGCGAAGCAACAUGCCCUCUCUGUACUUUGCAUUCUUGAGACUCAAAUAGAGGGAACGGGAGUUGAGAAUAUGGUGGGCUCUCUAGGUUUUAAUAAGAGCUUUGCUGUUAGUAGCUCGGGGAGAAGUGGUGGUCUAGGAAUUUUCUGGAAUAAAGAAAUAAAGCUUGAGAUUGUUGGUUAUUCGCAGUACCAUAUUGAUGCACUUAUUCAUGAUCUUGUUGAUGUGGAAAUAAGGGUUACGUUUGUGUACGGGGAAGCUCAAGUAAGUGAAAGAUACAAGACAUGGGACAUGCUUCGUGGAAUCGUGGGUGCAAACGACGUGCCAUGGUUGGUACUAGGAGAUUUUAAUGAAGUGCUACACGCUCAUGAACACGAUGGAGUGGGUAACAGAAGCCAAACACAGAUGGACGCGUUUAGAGAUGCACUUGAUACAUGUGGUCUGAUGGAUAUAGGAUACACUGGAACAGAUUGGACUUUUGAGAAAAAAAAGUAG
rnacentral:rRNA from 1 species